GCCUGGGUGGCUCAGUCGGUUAAGCAUCUGACUUCAGCUCAGGUCAUGAUCCUGCUAUCUAUGAGUUCAGGCCCCAUGUCAGGCU
rnacentral:tRNA from 1 species